rnacentral:piRNA from 1 species
UGAAUUUCAACAGAGAUGGC